AAACAAAAUGUUAAAAUCGAAAGACUGCCCACAUAUAGACGGCAUAUUAUGUAAAUAUUGAAGACAGAUUUAGAAACAAAAUAUAUAUUUAUAUUGGUACUGUGAUGAGAAAUAUACAACAACGUGGUAGGCCUAUUUGCACAGUAACAACUAGUUUAUAUUAUGCUUACAUAACAUGUAGAAAAGACUGGGACUAGUUGUCACAGAAGAGCUAUAUCUCAAAAAUUAUAAAGGUUUAAAUCAUAAGUCCAAUUAGACUUAGGGCUUGCCACAUGUGUUCUACUUGGAUAUAAUUAAUUAAUUGUAUAAAAUUACAACAUCUUUUGGCCCAAACGGAUACAUUUUAUGAUUUGCUUUCUCAUGAAUCAUUAUGUGAUUCAUAAUUUAUUUUUACUCUUUAUAUUUUGCUGAAAAGCCAUUAAAUAGCCUAAAACAGAUGAAUGGCAGGGUCAAAAUAUGACAACAUGCCCCCAAAAGCAUGUGUAUUAAAUAAACUGUACGAUUUUUUCCUGAGCAACAACAGCUUUUUUGUGGUUGCGAGGUAUAUUGCCAUACAAAAACUGAAAUAUUGAAAAAAAUGAAAUAUUCCCUGGAGUAAAAAUUAGGGCCACUCUCCCUAUUUAAACUAUAUUAUUCAAAUAAAUAAAUAAAUAAAUAAAAAAACUAAAGUAGGCUACAUAAAGCAAUCUGUUGAGAUUCAUGCCCGACACUAAAUAAGUCACAUUACAUUGUGAGGCUUUCACAGCAGUUUUCUUUCACACUACUAGUUAACAUAAAAGAGCUUUGUAUAUAGAACAGUGUGUACUUACAGCUUGUAUUGAGACCAAAAGAAAUGGUGCAUGAGAAUUGGAUUGAUUUGUAAAUGUACGCAUCAGCUCUAAGUGCUUUUUGCCAUGCAUGUGCAAGCCACACAAGAAUCAGUUCACUGAAAGAAGUGUGCAACAAUUUCUACAUUUAGAGAAUGAUGUUUUUAGUGCAUCUGGGACUUAUUUUGUUGACCAUGUCUUUUAUACCACAAAUGAACUUUUCAUAUGAGCUUCAGGAUACAAUUCACACUCUGAGGGAGGAGAAUGCGUACCUACAUCACAAACUGAAAAACCUCACACAGACACUGCGAGAACUGAGGAAACUGCUUCUGGAUCACUCGCAUGUGUCUACUGUGAAUCAUGAUAGUGCCAAGAUACAUGCAUGGAAUGAAUGGAUUAAAAAUGGUAUCAGCGCAGAAAAUCAUCUCAUGUUAGAACAAGCUUUCUGCUUACCAGAUCUUCAUGCCAGUGCUAAUUUAUAUUUUCCACAGGACAUUCUUCUUGUUCUGUCAGGUCUCACUUGGAUUGGGAUACUUUUCUUGUAGAUAUGGACAUAAUAUGCAGAUCUAACAUUCAUCAGGAAAGCUCAGGCUAUAAUUCAAAUGUGUAAAUAUUAACGUUAAUAGUAAGGUUUAAUUUGUUAACAUUAGUUAACUAACAUUAACAAACAAUGCUUUCAUAAAUCUUAGUUAAUAUUAAUUUCAACAUUUACUAAUAGAUUUUUAAAACCAUGUUGUAUUUGUUAACAAUA